GCAAUGGACUAAUGGACUGCAAC
rnacentral:miRNA from 1 species